GAUGAACGCUGACAGAAUGCUUAACACAUGCAAGUCAACUUGAAUUUGGGUUUUUAACUUAGGUUUGGGUGGCGGACGGGUGAGUAACGCGUAAAGAACUUGCCUCACAGCUAGGGACAACAUUUGGAAACGAAUGCUAAUACCUAAUAUUAUGAUAAUAGGGCAUCCUAUAAUUAUGAAAGCUAUAAGCGCUGUGAGAGAGCUUUGCGUCCCAUUAGCUAGUUGGAGAGGUAACGGCUCACCAAGGCGAUGAUGGGUAGCCGGCCUGAGAGGGUGAUCGGCCACAAGGGGACUGAGACACGGCCCUUACUCCUACGGGAGGCAGCAGUGGGGAAUAUUGGACAAUGGACCGAGAGUCUGAUCCAGCAAUUCUGUAUGCACGAUGAAGUUUUUCGGAAUGUAAAGUGCUUUCAGUUGGGAAGAAACAAAUGACGGUACCAACAGAAGAAGUGACGGCUAAAUACGUG
rnacentral:rRNA from 1 species